GAUGAACGCUGGCGGCGUGCCUAAUACAUGCAAGUCGAGCGAACAGACGAGGAGCUUGCUCCUCUGACGUUAGCGGCGGACGGGUGAGUAACACGUGGAUAACCUACCUAUAAGACUGGGAUAACUUCGGGAAACCGGAGCUAAUACCGGAUAAUAUAUUGAACCACAUGGUUCAAUAGUGAAAGACGGUUUUGCUGUCACUUAUAGAUGGAUCCGCGCUGCAUUAGCUAGUUGGUAAGGUAACGGCUUACCAAGGCGACGAUGCGUAGCCGACCUGAGAGGGUGAUCGGCCACACUGGAACUGAGACACGGUCCAGACUCCUACGGGAGGCAGCAGUAGGGAAUCUUCCGCAAUGGGCGAAAGCUUGACGGAGCAACGCCGCGUGAGUGAUGAAGGUCUUCGGAUCGUAAAACUCUGUUAUUAGGGAAGAACAAAUGUGUAAGUAACUAUGCACGUCUUGACGGUACCUAAUCAGAAAGCCACGGCUAACUACGUG
rnacentral:rRNA from 1 species